AUAUUACUUGACAACUAUGAACUUUGGGCCACGGUAUCUUUUUGUUUGAGCUGUAGGGUGGAAUUCUACAGUUUGUGGAAUUCUUGUAUCUCUCUGUUCACUCAAUGGCGUCGUACUAGGUACCCUCCGUUAAUUCUAACAAAUACAACAAUAACUCGCAAAUUCCCUUUUUUGUGCUUAUAAAUAGUACCAUUGUACAUUAUCAAACACAAUUAGUGCCAUGAAAACUGAUGGAAUGGCUUUAUUUACUAAUGAAAAAGAGAAUUAGGUAAGGAGAAAGAACACGAGGUUUGAGUUACGGAUAGGGAUGCUGAGUAGAGUCUGGGAUUAAAUAUAGAUUCCAGUGGUGGUGCUGGUGGUGAGGACAAUGAAAUGAUAACCAAGGUGGUGUUGGGAUUUUACACAAGAAUUUAACUUCAUCUAGUAGUGCACUUCAGGGACUGCUUAGGAAAUUGGGUGCUGGACUGGAUGAUUUACUCUCUAGCUAUGCAAUGGGGUCAGCAUCAUCGUCUCACCGGAGUAGACGGCUCAAUAAGAUGUUAGUUGGUUUAAGGGCAAAUGGCGAGGAAGGGAAAUAGGUAGAGGAUUUGAUGCAGCUGUGUGAGAUGCUUUCCAUUGUAACAGAAGACUCCCUGUCCAUAUUUUUUGUGUAUUCAUUUGUUCCAGUACUUCUAGGACUGCUCAAUCACAUGAACAAUCCUGACAUUAUAUUUCUUGUUGCCCGGGCUCUUACCCAUGUGGUUGACAUUCUUUCUUCUUCUUGUGUUGCUAUUCUCCAUUAUAGAGCUGUUUCAUGCUUUGUAGCUCGCCUGCUUACAAUUGAAUACAUGGACUUGGCUGAACAGUCUUUGCAGGAUCUAAAGAAGAUAUCUCAGGUGCAUCCCAGUGCUUAUUUGAGGGCUGGUACACUGAUGGCUGUGCUUUCUUAUAUCGAUUUCUUUUCCGCUAGAGUUCAGGUAGAAGAAUUCCUUUCAUGAUCUUAUCAAAUUCAAUUUUAGUGGAAUAAGCAACCUUUCAACUCCUUUUAAUACUUAAUAUGAUCACUUCUAAAUAUUUAUAUCCUUCAAUAGAGAGUAGCAUUAGCAACUGCUGCUCAUAUGUGCAAGAAGCUUCCUUCAGAUGCGUCUAAUUUGGUACUCCCUAUGUACUUUUUUAGGCUUAGAAAUGAAAGAAUUCUUGGAAGUUCCUUGAAUCCUUUGAAUCCGCUGAAAAGCUUUACUAGUUCGGUGCCUGCACUACUUAGGCGUAUGCCAGAGAAUGUAAAUCCGAGAUUAAGGACGUCUUGUUGCCCCCGGUGCAAGGAGAAGUAUAACCUUGAGUUGGCAAAACUUGUAUCUGAGUUUGAGAUUUCAUCAUCUGAAGCUAAACUGGAAUCUCCUCGACCUCAGUUGCCUCAGUGGUUGCAAAAUGAUAUGCUAAAGAAUGAUAGUAAUGUAACUUCUUUGUCGCAGAUUAAAGAUCAAGGUCUUUUGCAGCAGAAGACUCAAGAACUACGAAAGAAGUGGAAAGAUACAUGCUUGCAACUUCAGAUAAUGUCUAAAUGAAUAUUUGUGUAUAUUUCAGGAAAGUUUGAGCUUGAUAACUUACAGAGAGAUUCCAAUGAGAUCGCUAAUGAAUUGGGCAAGUUAAAAGAGGAUAUUGCCAGCCUUAAAGCUGCUUUAAACAACGGGAGAGGAGUUUUUUACAGGACCACUGCUUAUUGGGUCUCAGCCUUUUGUUUUAUGUAGACGGAAAUGUUAGUUGAUCUGAGCUUAGAGGAUGUGAAAUGUGUUGCUCUUCAUUAUGGAUUUGUAUUCGAGAAAGAAUCCACUAUUGAGACAACAUAUACUACAAAUUCAAGGUCAAUGAUACAAGUAAGUCUAACAU